rnacentral:rRNA from 1 species
AUACCCUACGGGAGGCAGCAGUAGGGAAUCUUCCACAAUGGACGAAAGUCUGAUGGAGCAACGCCGCGUGAGUGAAGAAGGGUUUCGGCUCGUAAAGCUCUGUUGGUAGUGAAGAAAGAUAGAGGUAGUAACUGGCCUUUAUUUGACGGUAAUUACUUAGAAAGUCACGGCUAACUACGUGCCAGCAGCCGCGGUAAUACGUAGGUGGCAAGCGUUGUCCGGAUUUAUUGGGCGUAAAGCGAGUGCAGGCGGUUCAAUAAAGCUG